CUCUCUUCAAUCCCAAUGGCGUUUCUGCUGACAAGAUGCCAUUCAAAACCCAUCACUCAUCUCUCCCUCUCUCCACCUCCCUUCACCCCUCUUCAUCCCAAAACCCAACCAUCCCAAUCCUCCCCCUCAAAUUCACAGAAAGACCCGUCAAAAAUCGUGACUUUUUGCUGCCGCCGGCUGCCGAGGAGGAGGGCGGCGCCGCCCAGACUCGGUGGGAUAUCGGAGCCCGAGGAGCUCGUCCGCACGAUACUGAAGAAGUCCAGCGAGGAGAAGAAGCCGCUGGUUGCGACCCUGGGGAAGUAUGUUAGGGUUUUGAGGACUGAGCAUUGUUUUCUACUGUUUGAGGAGUUGGGGAAGCGAGAUAACUGGCUUCAGUGCUUGGAGGUAUUCAGAUGGAUGCAAAAGCAAAGAUGGUACAUUGCAGACAAUGGCAUAUACUCAAAAUUAAUUUCGGUAAUGGGCAAGAAAGGCCAAACGAGGAUGGCCAUGUGGCUUUUCACAGAGAUGAGAAGUAGUGGAUGUAGACCUGAUACUUCAGUUUACAAUGCACUAAUAACUGCUCACCUCCAUUCUCGUGACAAAUCCAAGGCUCUUUUAAAAGCCUCAGGAUAUUUUGAGAAAAUGAAAGGAAUUGAAAGGUGCAAACCCAACAUUGUGACUUACAACAUUCUUCUAAGAGCCUAUGCCCAAGCUGGCGAUGUAAAACAAGUGGAAGAAUUAUUUAAAGAUCUUGAGUCAAGUAUUGUGUCCCCUGAUAUUUAUACUUUCAAUGGAGUAAUGGAUGCUUAUGGGAAAAAUGGUAUGAUUAAAGAGAUGGAGUCCAUACUUCUGAAAAUGAAGAGCAAUCAGUUGAAGCCAGAUGUCAUCACAUUCAAUGUGCUUAUUGACACUUAUGGAAGAAAGCAUGCAUUUGAUAAGAUGGAGCAAGUGUUCAAGAGCUUGUUGCGAUCGAAAGAGAGGCCAACGCUGCCUACUUUCAAUUCAAUGAUAUUGAAUUAUGGGAAGGCUAGGCUCAGAGAGAAAGCUGAAGCAGUCUUUACCAAAAUGAAUGAAUUGGGAUUGAAACCAAGUGUUGUGACUUAUGAGAGUUUGAUCACUACCUAUGCAUUGUGUGAUUGUGUUUCAAGAGCUAGAGAGAUAUUUGAUGAGCUCGUUAUGACUAGGAGAGAAGUGCAAGUUUCUACUCUUAAUGCAAUGCUUGAUGCCUACUGUAUCAAUGGUUUGGCUACUGAAGCUGACAGGCUUUUGGAUGAUGCGAAUGAAAAGGGUUUAGUGACAAAUGCUUCUACAUAUAAAUUAUUGUACAAGGCUUACACUAAGGCUAAUGAGAAGCAGCUUCUUGAUAAAUUGUUGAAGAGAAUGGAUCGAGAGGGUAUAGUCCCAAAUAAAAAGUUCUUUUUGGAGGCUUUAGGAGCUUUUGGUUCUUCUAGUACAAAUACUAAGACUAGGAAAGAGGCAAAGAGUUCAAGUGCUACAAGAAUUCUUGCCGGGACAUAGCAAAAUUCCAGUUCAUCUAUUUGUAUGGCUUGAGAUCAGAUGAUGAUACCAUAUCCAUGUAGGUUCAUCCUAAAACAGUGACGCAAGCACGCCCGCUAGAAAGAAGCUCGUACACUUUUCCCGUUGCAGGCCCAUAAUGAGUGUAUGUUCGGAUUAGCGAUGUUGCCGAACUUGAGAAUCAACCGGCGGUUGUUGACUCCGUUCAGUCACCAGUAGAGUAUGCUGGUCUGUUUCUUGUCGAGGAUCAAAAGUAUCGAAGAGGGUGAAGACGGAGGGGAAGACAGGACUGUGGUGAAGGGAGAGUCGGAGGGUGGAUUUCUUCCCUGGUGAAGGUGUUGGUGAUGAUGCAAGAUUUGCUGGCGACGACAAUGAUGUAGCUGUGGGAGAGAUGUGCUGAAAGGGGAGAGAAGGUAAGGGAGGGGGUU